rnacentral:rRNA from 1 species
UACGUAGGGAGCGAGCGUUGUCCGGAUUUACUGGGUGUAAAGGGUGCGUAGGCGGCCCUGCAAGUCAGGUGUGAAAACCGACGGCUUAACUGUCGGACUGCAUUUGAAACUGUGGGGCUUGAGUGGAGCAAAGGCAGGCGGAAUUCCCGGUGUAGCGGUGAAAUGCGUAGAGAUCGGGAGGAACACCAGUGGCGAAAGCGGCCUGCUGGGCUGUAACUGACACUGAGGCAUGAAAGCGUGGGGAGCAAAC